AGCGGUCCGGCCGGGAACUCAAAGGAGACUGCCAGUGAUAAACUGGAGGAAGGUGGGGAUGACGUCAAGUCAUCAUGGCCCUUACGACCAGGGCUACACACGUGCUACAAUGGCGCAUACAAAGAGAAGCGACCUCGCGAGAGCAAGCGGACCUCAUAAAGUGCGUCGUAGUCCGGAUUGGAGUCUGCAACUCGACUCCAUGAAGUCGGAAUCGCUAGUAAUCGUGGAUCAGAAUGCCACGGUGAAUACGUUCCCGGGCCUUGUACACACCGCCCGUCACACCAUGGGAGUGGGUUGCAAAAGAAGUAGGUAGCUUAACCUUCGGGAGGGCGCUUACCACUUUGUGAUUCAUGACUGGGGUGAAGUCGUAACAAGGUAACCGUAGGGGAACCUGCGGUUGGAUCACCUCCUUACCUGAAAGAAGC
rnacentral:rRNA from 2 species